GCAGAGGACCUCCUCCCCUUUCAUCUGACCCUGGUUUAUCAGGUAUCUUCAGGACUGGCUGCCAUGUCUGCCUCUGUGGCCUAGCAGGCCUGCUCCUCCCCACCCCGGGGUGGGGGGGAGGUCAAAGAGCCAGACAUUGAGUUCAUGUCAGAAACAUUCCCUGUUCCCCUUACUAGGGUACACACUUGGAUACUGAGCUAUCAUGGGCUACAUUCGAGCAGAGGUUCUAGGUUAUAUCCAUACAUAGUUCUUGGUUGGAUAAACAGUCUCAUAAAAGACCCCUGUGCUGAGAUAUAUUUGGGAGUUAAUAUGACCUGAAGAGGACAGGAGCUCCACAAGGACCUGAAGUUUAAAGAGAAGAGCAGAAGCAACAUAUGGGGAUUAGGACAUAGACUCUGUCAGCAGCAGCAGAGAUGAGACUCUGAAAAAGCUGUGUUUAAGUGGAAAGCAGAGGAAGAUGAGCUAGUGAAAGACUGUCAGGAUGAAAGGCCCACAGGAGAAAGCCCAGGCCCAAAGGUAAGGAGAGAAUGGAUCUUAUAAAGAAAAGGGCGGUCAGAAGGUGAGUUGCCAUAGAGAACUAGACCAAAACCAGGAAUUUAUAUGUAUCCACUGGUUUCAGAGCCCAGGAGACACCUGGAGACAGACCUUAGAGCAGCAGUUCUUAAGAUGUGGUUAGCGACCCCUCUGGGGAGAAAUGACCCUUUUCACAGGGAUCGUUUAAGACCAUUGGAAAGCACAGACAUUCAGAGUAUGAUUCUUAGCAGUUGCAAAAUGACAGUUACGAAGUAGCAACAAAGUGAUUUUGUGGCUGGGGGGGGGCACUAUAACAUGAGGAGCUGUAUAAAGGGUCACAGCGUCAGGAAGGUUGAGAACCGCUGCCUUAGAGGAUCUUCAGAGAGUGGUGAGGGAAAACACCAGGCCGUAGCGAAAUGCUGCGUGGGAAUGGAGGCAUUGAACAGGCCAUGUGCAGACCAUGUCUUUAAAGCCUGGCUGUAAAGAGGAGAGCAACACGCAGAGGGGCCAUGGGGUUGACAAAGGGUCCAGCGCCAAGCAGAAGACUGAAAUUUUUAUGAAGCCCACUGGAUGCAUCAAAUCUACAGGAUUCGGUUUGUCCAGAAGACGUAACAAAGAAAAGGAUUAACUGAGCAAGCACUACACUUUGUGUUUUAUUUCAACUUGAUACAAGACCAUCCAUGUGGGUGAGGACUACAGAGUGCCGGAUAAAGUUACAAAACUGCCAAGAAAGGAAGAAAUGAAGUAAGGAAAGAAAGAAGGAAUGUCCCUGAUGAUGCACUCCUCAAGAACCAUUACUUCUGUUACAAGAUACACAACUAUAUUCCGGGAAGGCGCAGGUGGACGCUGUAACCUGAGGCAGGUAGGACUUACUCAGAGCUGCAAAGAAGGUGAGAAUGGGUGACUUGAAAAUAUACUGGAGGAAAUUCUUUGCUGAUAAUACUUCAUUUGGCAACUGAGCUAUUCAUCUUUUGAGGGUUGCGACGUAGACACGUGAUUGGGGACUUGAGAGGGGCAAACAGAUCAGCCAUUGAAGGGACUGGGAGACAGUCACAAGAGAUGAAAAGAAUGCUGACAGCUUUCCUGUGGCCUCGUCUAGAAGCACAGAGCAACUCGGGUCAGUGCAUCAAUA